AACGCACAUUGCGCUCUUUGGUAUUCCGGAGAGCAUGCCUGUUUGAGAAUCAGUAAAUUCAUCAACCCAAGGUUCUUGGAAUGUAUUCUUGGAACUUGACGGUUGGAUAUGGGCAAUUUGCUGCGUAAGCAGCAAUAGCCUGAAAUUAAAUGUUACGCUCCGUUGGACUGAAACGUCUCGGGCAAACGCAUGAAUGAGGCAACUCAGAAAUACGUAAGCUUUGGGAUGGAUCGGUUAAUGGUUGGGUGACUCAACUGAUUAACCAGGGUUUGUUGGCGUCAGCCGGCUUAUUCUGAACACUUGGUCUCAAAUCAGGUAGGAAAACCCGCUGAACUUAA
rnacentral:misc_RNA from 1 species